AUGGACUAGAAACCAGCACAGAAUAACUGUCAAUUAAAAUGUAGAUAUUUUAGGGCUGGGAUGUAGCUCAGUGGUUCCGCCAUCUGCCUUGCAAGCGCAAGGUCCUGAAUUUGAUCCCGGUACCCCAAAAAAAGGUAGGUAUUUUAAUCAUGAUCACCGUUAUUAAUAUUAUAUAUUCUUAGUAGAUUAUAUAUCCCCAGAACAAAAAUUAUGUUAAUUAUAAAUGAAACAGUGCUAGGUUCCUGAAAUUACUUGGAUCACAUCAGCAUGGACUGUAGUGGAGGGGACAAGCUUGCGGCUGACUGGUGUGGAGGCUGAGGACGUUUAUCUGCUGCAGAGCUUGGGAUUUGUGUAGGCUGUGGUCUACCUUCAAGGCUUCAGUAUCCUCAUGAAGCCCAGGCGAGGGCUGGAGCCAGCAAGCAAGGCUAAAUGAGAGGGUGAGGAUGAAUAGGGAAAACCUAGCCGCAGGACAGUGCUAUCCCAAGUCAAGGGAUAGGAAAAUCUAGGCUGCAGGGCCUCAGAGCUGAACAAUUCCUGGGAGUGAGACUAGCAGGAACUCUGCCAACCUUUGGGAUCUUAAAUAAGAGGCAGGGCAUGGGGGAAUGAAGAAAAUGUCCUAGUAUAAUUUGGACUGUAAUUAUCUCCUAAAAGCCUGUAGUUUAAAGGUUUGGCUCCAGAAUGGCACUAUUCGGAAAUUCUGAAACUCAGGAAAAUUAGGACCUAGUGGGAGGUCUUUCGGUAGUUGGAGACAUGUCCUUGAAGGGAAAGUGGGAUCUGGAUCACUUCCUCUUUCUCUUUUGCUUCUUGGGACCGAGGUGAACUCUACAACAUGCACUAAUCAUGAUGUGCUGCCGCAUCCAAACCAAUGGGCCCAACUGAUCAUUGGCUGAAACCCGGAAAACCAUGAGCCAAAACCAACCUUUUCUCUUCAUAAGCUGAUUCUCAGCAGAAAGCUGACUAAGCCCAGGGACAUUAAGAUGAUCCAGGAAGUGAGAUGUUGCAAGUGACUAACCACAAACUGCAAAACUGGGCGAGUUGGAUGCAAAUCAGAGGGCUCUUUGACUUUUGAGAUGUUUGCUAGACUUUUCAUAACAUUAGAGUCUACUGGACAUUUCUGUGACCUUCAGCAAGGCUCUGUAACAAAGCAGAACAACUAAGGUAAAUGUUGGCCCAUUGGUGAAGAGAAUGGUAUCUGACAAUGUGGUAUAGGCUUUGUUCCUCCCUGCUAAGCACAGUCACAAACCCUAUAGCAACAUAGGAG
rnacentral:lncRNA from 1 species